ensembl:misc_RNA
UCCGGAGGACACGAGGUCUCUAUUGCACCUGCGCGGUUCGCCCGCGUGCGCGCGCGGUUCUGCCGUGCCUGCGAAUCUCGGCGCGCGCACGCCGACGGGUCUGGUGGGCUCCUCCCUACAGCCUGAAUCGGUCUGAGCAUCUGUGUAGUCUGCGGCGAGUG